ACAGUCAGCAGGGUGUGAUGGCUGGUCUGAAAUCACAGAGGAAGUCUGUGGAAGAGGCUGGAAUCAGAUUCGAUCAUCCUUUGGACGCCAGUCCUGCUGCUUAACCACAGGGCAGUAGAAACUGCCUCUCUCAUACUCUGGAUAAAUUAAACCAGAAGAGAACAUUUCUGAAUGCUGGAAUCUGACAUCCAAACAUGCGCAUGGGGUAGAGACCGUGUCAAUUGUAGAAGGGUUUUGGAAAAAAUACCGCGGCCUGAAUUCAGGAGAGUCACACCAAGAAUAACAUGACCAAAUAGGAUGAAAACUCUCAGCUCUUUGCACCCAUCCAGUCUUACCAGCUCCAGCAGGACCUUGCUGGGACAGUCUUCUCCCAGGUGCUGCCAUGGCCCACCUCUGCCCCUAAAUCCCUCCUGGGGGAAUGGAGAGCCCUCAAGUUUCAGUCAGCUGCUCCUAAAGAGAAGGGGUGCUGGGCGAAUCUGGAGAGCAGCCACCAACCUACUCCUGAAAGUGAAAGCCUCAAAACAUAGCAAAUGCCACCAGCCUCCAGCAGUCUGUCAUACUGAGGCACUGAGGAAUCAGCAAGAAAAAAGACUCCUCCCACACUGAAAUCCUAGGCCAGGUGUGGCUGGGAUCCAUCUGAGGAUACUCCUGGUGUGCUUCCUGCUCUUCCUGGGCUUGUUUUUUUGGAUCAGGUACUUCCUGCAUGAGCUGAGGCCAUAAGCGAUCUCCUUCAGCAGUCAUUGCACAACUGCCAGCAUCGACGCAGUGUUCACCUAAAAAACAGUACAUUGAAAAUAAAACUGGGGUAAUAGACUCUCUCCCAGUACAGGAAUUAGAAACAACCUAUAGAAGCAUAGAAUAGCCCGAGUUGGAAGAGACCCAAAAAGCUAUUCUGAGAAUACUAUUACCAUGGAUCCACUAUGAAAAGCAAAGGGGCAGCAGCACAGCAAGACUAGCUUCUUCUCAGAG